UACGGAGGGUGUAAGCGUUGUCCGGAUUUAUUGGGUUUAAAGGGUGCGUAGGCGGCUUUGUAAGUCAGUGGUGAAAUAUGGCAGCUUAACUGUCAAGGUGCCAUUGAUACUGCGGAGCUUGAGUACAGAUGAGGUAGGCGGAAUUGACGGUGUAGCGGUGAAAUGCUUAGAUAUCGUCAAGAACACCUAUAGCGAAGGCAGCUUACUAGGCUGUAACUGACGCUGAGGCACGAAAGUGUGGGGAUCAAACAGG
rnacentral:rRNA from 1 species